rnacentral:rRNA from 1 species
AUUGAACGCUGGCGGCAGGCCUAACACAUGCAAGUCGAACGGUAACAGGAAGAAGCUUGCUUCUUUGCUGACGAGUGGCGGACGGGUGAGUAAUGUCUGGGAAACUGCCUGAUGGAGGGGGAUAACUACUGGAAACGGUAGCUAAUACCGCAUAACGUCGCAAGACCAAAGAGGGGGACCUUCGGGCCUCUUGCCAUCGGAUGUGCCCAGAUGGGAUUAGCUAGUAGGUGGGGUAACGGCUCACCUAGGCGACGAUCCCUAGCUGGUCUGAGAGGAUGACCAGCCACACCGGAAACGAGAACAGGUCCAGACUCCCACGGGAGGCCGGCGUGGGGAAUAUUGCACAAUGGGCGGAAGCCUGAUGCAGCCAUGCCGGGUGUAUGAAGAAGGCCUUCGGGUUGUAAAGUACUUUCAGCGGGGAGGAAGGGAGUAAAGUUAAUACCUUUGCUCCUUGACGUUACCCGCAGAAGGAACCCCGGCUAACCCCGUG